GUCCCUGUAGCGCAAUAGAUAGCGCGUUGGACUUCUAAUCCAAAAGUUGUGGGUUCAAAUCCCACAUGGGAUG
rnacentral:tRNA from 1 species